rnacentral:rRNA from 1 species
UACGAAGGGGGCUAGCGUUGUUCGGAUUUACUGGGCGUAAAGCGCGUGUAGGCGGCUAAGUAAGUCGGGCGUGAAAUCCCACGGCUCAACCGUGGAAGUGCACUCGAAACUGGCAGGCUUGAGUACUGAAGAGGGUCGCGGAAUUCCCGGUGUAGAGGUGGAAAUUCGUAGAUAUCGGGAGGAACACCAGUGGCGAAGGCGGCGACCUGGGCAGAUACUGACACUGAGGUGCGAAAGCGUGGGGAGCAAACAGG